rnacentral:tRNA from 1 species
CAGAUUAUUGCUAGGCAGAGUUGUUAUUUACAUUAAUAAUUAAAUUUGUGCGAUCCAAAUUGGUCUGA